GCAAGUCGAACGAUAAGCUUCUUCGGAAGUGGACAGUGGCAGACGGGUGAGUAACGCGUGGGGAUCUGCCCAGAGGUUCGGGACAACCAUUGGAAACGAUGGCUAAUACCGAAUAAGCCCGCAAGGGGAAAGAUUUAUUGCCUUUGGAUGAACCCGCGUAAGAUUAGCUUGUUGGUGAGGUAAUGGCUCACCAAGGCGACGAUCUAUAGCUGGUUUGAGAGGAUGAUC
rnacentral:rRNA from 1 species